rnacentral:lncRNA from 1 species
AUCUUGGUGCUCCAAAUAUAUAUGAAAUCUUAUAUUAAAAAUUUUUAGACCUUGUCGCAAAUUAAAAUUCAGUUCAAGAGAAGUCUGAGUCUGCUGUCAGAAGAUGUAACCAAAGAAAAUAAACAAAAUGACAAUAAUACAUAAAUAACAACAGACUACUAGCAGUUAACUGACAUGCCAGCUCCAGACUUCUAUUAAACUGACUGAAAGAUUAUGAUUUCAUCAUAUGAACAUCAGGCACAAUCCUUCCCGUUAGAAUAUCACCACUUAAAAAUUAUGGCUUGAAGA